UACAGAGGGGGCGAGCGUUGUUCGGAAUUACUGGGCGUAAAGGGCGCGUAGGCGGCCUUCUAAGUCGAACGUGAAAUCCCCGGGCUUAACCCGGGAACUGCGUCCGAUACUGGGAGGCUUGAAUCCGGGAGAGGGAUGUGGAAUUCCCGGUGUAGCGGUGAAAUGCGCAGAGAUCGGGAGGAACACCCGUAGCGAAGGCGGCACUCUGGGCCGGUACUGACGCUGAGGAGCGAAAGCGUGGGGAGCAAACAGG
rnacentral:rRNA from 1 species